rnacentral:rRNA from 1 species
GUCCACGCCCUAAACUAUGAUCACUCGUUGUUGGCGAUACACAGUCAGCGACUAAGGGAAACCAUUAAGUGAUCCACCUGGGAAGUACGACCGCAAGGUUGAAACUCAAAGGAAUUGACGGGGGCCCGCACAAGCGGAGGAGCAUGUGGUUUAAUUCGAUGAUACGCGAGGAACCUUACCUGGGCUUGAAAGUUAGUGACAUCCCGUGAAAGCGGGACUUCCGCAAGGACACGAAACUAGGUGCUGCAUGGCUGUCGU